UACGGGAUGGAGCAGUUGGUAGCUCGUCAGCCCCAUAAGCUGAAGGUCGCUGGUUCGAUUCCAGCUCCCGUACCCA
rnacentral:tRNA from 1 species